rnacentral:rRNA from 1 species
UACGAAGGGGGCUAGCGUUGCUCGGAAUUACUGGGCGUAAAGCGUGCGUAGACGGUUUUGUAAGUCGGAUGUGAAAUCCCCGGGCCCAACCUGGGAAUUGCAUUCGAGACUGCAAGGCUUGGGUGCGGAAGAGGGAAGCGGAAUUUCCGGUGUAGCGGUGAAAUGCGUAGAUAUCGGAAGGAACAUCAGUGGCGAAAGCAGCUUCCUGGUCCAGCACCGACGUUCAGGCACGAAAGCGUGGGGAGCAAACAGG